GAUGAACGCUGGCGGCGUGCUUAACACAUGCAAGUCGAACGAAGCUGCCCAAAGGAAGUUUUCGGAUGGAAUUUAGGUAGACUUAGUGGCGGACGGGUGAGUAACGCGUGGAUAACCUGCCUUAUACAGGGGGAUAACGGAGAGAAAUUUCCGCUAAUACCGCAUAAGACCACAGCACCGCAUGGUGCAGGGGUAAAAUAUUUAUAGGUAUAAGAUGGAUCCGCGUCCGAUUAGCUAGUUGGUGAGGUAAAGGCCCACCAAGGCGACGAUCGGUAGCCGGCCUGAGAGGGUGAACGGCCACAUUGGGACUGAGACACGGCCCAAACUCCUACGGGAGGCAGCAGUGGGGAAUAUUGGACAAUGGGGGAAACCCUGAUCCAGCGACGCCGCGUGAGUGAAGAAGUAUUUCGGUAUGUAAAGCUCUAUCAGCAGGGAAGAAAAUGACGGUACCUGACUAAGAAGCCCCGGCUAACUACGUGCCAGCAGCCGCGGUAAUACGUAGGGGGCAAGCGUUAUCCGGAUUUACUGGGUGUAAAGGGAGCGCAGACGGCAAUGCAAGUCUGAAGUGAAAGGCGUGGGCUCAACCCAUGAACUGCUUUGGAAACUGUAUAGCUUGAGUGUCGGAGGGGUAAGCGGAAUUCCUAGUGUAGCGGUGAAAUGCGUAGAUAUUAGGAGGAACACCGGAGGCGAAGGCGGCUUACUGGACGACAACUGACGUUGAGGCUCGAAGGCGUGGGGAGCAAACAGG
rnacentral:rRNA from 1 species